rnacentral:rRNA from 1 species
GAUUAACGCUAGCGGCAGGCCUAAUACAUGCAAGUCGAACGGUAAAUAGUAGCAAUAUUAUGAGAGUGGCGCACGGGUAAGUAACGCGUAUGCAACCUACCUAUAACAGGGGAAUAGCUCAGAGAAAUCUGAAUUAACGCCGCAUAACAUUAUUUUAUGGCAUCAUAAGAUAAUACAAACUACCGGUGGUUAUAGAUGGGCGAUGCGUGACAUUAGCUAGUUGGUGAGGUAAUGGCUCACCAAGGCUUCGAUGUCUAGGGGGUC